rnacentral:rRNA from 1 species
UAGGGAAUCUUCGGCAAUGGACGAAAGUCUGACCGAGCAACGCCGCGCGAGUGAAGAAGGUUUUCGGAUCUUAAAACUCUGUUGUUAGAGAAGAACAAGGACGUUAGUAACUGAACGUCCCCUGACGGUAUCUAACCAGAAAGCCACGGCUAACUACGUGCCAGCAGCCGCGGUAAUACGUAGGUGGCAAGCGUUGUCCGGAUUUAUUGGGCGUAAAGCGAGCGCAGGCGGUUUCUUAAGUCUGAUGUGAAAGCCCCCGGCUCAACCGGGGAGGGUCAUUGGAAACUGGGAGACUUGAGUGCAGAAGAGGAGAGUGGAAUUCCAUGUGUAGCGGUGAAAUGCGUAGAUAUAUGGAGGAACACCAGUGGCGAAGGCGGCUCUCUGGUCUGUAACUGACGCUGAGGCUCGAAAGCGUGGGGAGCAAACAGG